CAGAACAGGAUGCUGGGAGAAAGAAGCUGAGUCAGGUGUCGCCAUGAUUCUCCCACUCCAGACAGACACAGGUUAAGAUCUUUCCUGGUCCUUGAAGAGGAUGAUCAAGCAGAAUGACACAUCUUAUGGUGAACAGUAAGAAAGAGACUAACAGAGGAAGAACUUGGGAUCAAGAUAUACAAUUAAAGACAAACAUUCACUUUCUCCAAGGCCCCAUUUUUCAGUCCCAUUACUUCUGGAUUAAUGAAAGUGAAAACAAUGCCGCUGAGCAGAGGAGCAAUCAGCUAGUAUAUGUGACUGAAGAUGAUUGCUGUUCCUGAGAAUGGUAGUGCCUCUGUCUCUCCAAGACAGUCUGUUUGUGAAGGCAGAAGCAUGGUCACAGAUAAGAAGGAGUGCCUUGGAAGACCAGCAGCUACUUUGUAUUGCAUUAUUUCCUAAUGACGUGGUUGUUUGAGCUUUCUAUCACUUUUGAAAUGCCAAGACUUUGGACAAAAAUUAAAAAAAAAUAAAAUACCUCGCCUGAGAUGAUGUAUCUGAGAUA